AUGGAACAAUGUAGGCAAGGGAAGUCGGCAAAACGGAUCCGUAACUUCGGGAAAAGGAUUGGCUCUGAGGACUGGGCUCGGGGGUCCCGGCCCCGAACCCGUCGGCUGUCGGCGGAUUGCUCGAGCUGCUCACGCGGCGAGAGCGGGUCGCCGCGUACCGGUCGGGGGACGGACCGGGAAUCGCCCCUUCGGGGGCUUUCCCCGAGCAUGAAACAGUCGACUCAGAACUGGUACGGACAAGGGGAAUCCGACUGUUUAAUUAAAACAAAGCAUUGCGAUGGUCCUCGCGGAUGCUGA
rnacentral:rRNA from 1 species